GAUGAACGCUGGCGGCGUGCCUAAUACAUGCAAGUCGAGCGAACAGACGAGGCGCUUGCUCCUCUGACGUUAGCGGCGGACGGGUGAGUAACACGUGGAUAACCUACCUAUAAGACUGGGAUAACUUCGGGAAACCGGCGCUAAUACCGGAUAAUAUAUUGAACCGCAUGGUUCAAUAGUGAAAGACGGUUUUGCUGUCACUUAUAGAUGGAUCCGCGCCGCAUUAGCUAGUUGUUAAGGUAACAGCUUACCAAGGCAACGAGGCGUAGCCGACCGGAGAGGGUGGUCGGCGGCCCUGGAGCGGGACCAGGGUCAAUACGCCUACGGGAGGCAGCAGUAGGGAAGCUUCCGCAAUGGGCGAGAGCCUGACGGAGCAAGGCGGCGUGAGAGAUAAAGGUCUUGGGUGCGUAAAACUGUCUUAUGAGGGAAAAACAAAUUUGUAAGUAACUAUGGACUGCUUGACGGUACCUAGUAAGAAAGCAACGGCUAACUACGUG
rnacentral:rRNA from 1 species